AAUGGAGGCAACUCUGAUCCAGCCAUGCCGCGUGAAGGAUGAAGGCGCUCAGCGUUGUAAACUUCUUUUGAGUGGGAACAAAAAACGGGACUUGUCCCGGACUGAGGGUACCACUAGAAUAAGCACCGGCUAACUCCGUGCCAGCAGCCGCGGUAAUACGGAGGGUGCAAGCGUUAUCCGGAAUCACUGGGUUUAAAGGGUGCGUAGGCGGUCGGAUAAGUCAGUCGUGAAAUGCCCCGGCUCAACCGGAGGAACUGCGAUUGAUACUGUCCGACUUGAAUCAGGUUUAGGCAGGCGGAAUGUGACAUGUAGCGGUGAAAUGCUUAGAUAUGUCAUAGAACACCGAUUGCGAAGGCAGCUUGCUGGGCCUUGAUUGACGCUGAGGCACGAAAGCGUGGGGAGCAAA
rnacentral:rRNA from 1 species